CUAAUUGAAUACCUUUGGCAAAUCAUGUAGCUCUUCAGUGCCUCAAGUGCUUCAUUCUGCACUUUCAUUUGCAGAAUGAAGAUGAUACUUGCUAUUUACCUGCUGAUCUACCUUACAAAGCCAUUGUGAGGAAGUUGAAUUGGUGUUUAUGUACUGGAGUUUAUAACUGUGCUAUUUUUCCUAGUGAUACUUGAAGGUAUUGGAUGGGGAAAUGAUCAUCCCAGAAAUGGGUCCAGUUUCUUAUUAUUACAGAAAAGUUUACAAGUACUUAAAGCAAAAACGCUUUUGGACUAAUUCAUCAAAAGUCCUGUGAAAGUAGUGUUGUUUUAUUUAGUCUUUGGGUUUACUUUGGAAUAAUUUCUUAAGUAUAAUGUUUCUCAUCAGGUUUUGUCAUGAAAUUAAGAUGCUGUUGUUGAAACAGAAGCAGAAAAGGAAAAGAAAUUAGCCAAUUACUUUUAUAACUAACUUUUAUAAUGCCCUAAGAUAAAUUGGUAGGAACGUGUAAGGUAAUGUUACCACUUUCCUUUAGUAUUAAAUUUUUUAUGGUUAUAAUAAUUGAAGUGUAUACGUGCAUACACUUCACAACCGGUAUAGAUUCCUUUAUGACUUUCAAGUUAUAUUUAAAAUAUUUGGUUGUUUCAGUGAUUCAGAAUAUUCAACUUUAAGCAGAAUUUGUCUUACAGAAUGUUAUAUACAAUCAUAUAAAAAUGUUAUUUUGUUGGAUAAAUUUGAGUUCAGAAGGCAAUGACUUGACCCUGGAAGACUCAGUUUAUUGCUGGGGAACCAAGUUAAUAUUUGUCAAGCCACCCUGUGUAAAAAACUGUAAUGGGUAGAAGUUUUCUCUUUUGAGAAGCUUAUUGAAAUAUAAUGACAUCUACUGCAAAAUAGGACUACUAAAUACAUAUACUUUACAUGCAAAGUACAUUUCUUAAAGAAUUAUUUCUGGUAAUUUUUGAUGACUUUAUUACUUGAUAAUAAGUAUUAGUUUAAAAUUUUCCAAAUUAUUCUUUAAAUAGUUGUUAGGUAAGAAUAUUCAGUAAGCCAGUAAUUCAGAAUAACUAUUGUAGAAAAUAAUAAUAAUCUAUUAAUUUAAUGAAUCACCUCUAAAUUACUAAUUAACUUCUUUUACAACAUAAAUAACUUGUUAUCAAUAGAGCAUUUUUGUAAAAAACAAAAGAAAGAAUAAGUUUAAUUAUUAAAAUUUGCUCUCUUACCAAAUGAAUACAAGGGCUUUUGAAUAAUCUCAUUGCAUAAGAGGCCCUCAUUUCACAGAAAUGGUAAGAACUAAAUCAAAAGAUUCAAGGGUUUUCCCUUUAUAAAGAAUAGAUCAGAAAAUUUGACAAUCCAGACAUUCAAAAAAACAUUCUGCCAGUUGAUUUUUUUGGACUACUAUUUGAUUAGAUGAUCAGUUCUGAAAUUUAAGCUGCAUGUAUGCCCAAAUUAAAUUAGCAUAGGAAAGUCAAUGUGUGUGGUUUUUUAAAAGUAUAUUUUAGCAUAUUAAUGGAGCAAUUUAAUUUACAUUCAGUUACAAACCUCAUUCUUAUUAAUAGGUUUAGGGAAUGUUCUUGCUGGUGUGCUGAUUACCAUAUUAGAGAAAAAAUAAACUCUCCAUAUUAUAAUUCACCUGUUUAGUAAGGUGAGUUUCUUACUUGUGAUUUGAGUGGAUUAUGCCUAAAAAUUACAAGUAUAUUUGCACUAAGCGACAAAAUAUGUCCCUGAAAAAUCUUAGCGUACUUGAAUCAUCAAAUGUAAUGGAUUGUAUUGAAUUCUAAAUGUUAAGAAGUAAGUGGAUUUAGGGUUUUGUCUUUCUUUUCUUAUGUCCUCUCUCAUUCCUUUAUACCUUUCUUCCUUUCUGAGGCCUAUGUUUAUAGCAUGACUUUUAAUGUGCUGAAAGAUUUUCCUUCUGUUUUGUGUACAGAGUUGUUUUUGAUGAGUGGUACGCUCAGAAGGAACUAGUUCUGACUACAAAUCCCACUACUUGAAAUAGCAAUAUUGUACCUAAAGUAGUCAAACAGAUUUUGCUAGACAACUAAGCAACAUCUGAAUACAAAUGUAAAGUAUGCUGGCUCAGUGUAUCUUUUAGGUCACUAAAGAGGACACAUCAGUAAAUAAAUUGUUUUCAGUGUAAUAUUUUUACAUAAAAAUAGAUUUCCCCCCCAAAAUUUAAGAUUUAUUUAGAUUCUUGAGACAUCUUUUUAUGAAAAGGAAUUAAUAACAUACAUCAUCAAAACUUUUCUUAGGAGCGUUGAAACAAUAUAAGAAGGUUACAGAAGGCCUUCUAAAAUAUGAAUUCCCAUCUGUAUGAGGUACUUCUUUCCAACUCAGUGACUUUUUGCCCAGAGACUUGGAAGACUGGGCAAUGUUUUCUUUCCCCUUUCCCAACUCCUGGAGACAAGGCCCUAGGAGCAAUUUCCUCCAGUAGGGCAGGCCGUAGUCCUGCUCUGUCUUACUUCCCACUGCAGCAGGAACAUGUCCUCGCCUCUGAUUCCUUCUGUACCAAGCCAUUGGUCCAUUGAGGUCAAUUGAGGACUCACUGUAAAUUUUAAAUCUGUUAAUAAAGCAAGGAUAUUGGCAUGUUCCUCUUCUCAUCAAUAUCCUAAAAGACAUUUAUUUUUUACACACUCCUUGGGAAAAAUUAACUUUUUUUCACUGAAAAUAUUUCCUUUUUUGGUUAUCUUGAUCUCAGAUUAUUUUGUGAAAGAAUUUUACUGUACUUAGUUCAAAAGAGUAGAAAGAAUGAUUUACUAUUGCAGACAUAUGUAGGGUAAAAUCAUAAUUUAUUUAAACUGACUGUACAACACCAUUUAGAGUUGAUAUUGACAUAAAUGUUAUUAGCCUACUAAUUUGGAACUGCAUUUCUCAACAAUGCUGGCAAGCAUCUUCCGUACUUAGCAUACCAAGUUGUAGGGGAGAGACUGUGUAUAUAUUUUUUAAAAGCAAUCCAAUGGAUUUGUUUUUGUUCAUAUUUUGAAAACAACUCGAAGGAUUUUUCUUAUUUUAGAAGGUAGAAAAUAUGUGGACCUGUGUUUUAAAUUAAUAUGUAUUUAUAAAUUAUAACAUUGAAUGAUACAACAGAGCUCUAAUAUUGAUGUUCUCACUUUCUGAUAUUUAAUUUUUAUAAAUGUUUUUGUAAGUAACUAAUUGUAGUAUUGCUUUUAAAUAGUUUUAAAAUCUAUCUCAAAUAAGUUCUGCCCAGACCUAUUUCCUUAGGACAGUAUUCUAAAGUUCAGUAGUCCAGUGUGAGCUUGAAAUACUCCUAGAUCCCGUCAGUGAUUUUUAUAUAUACCAAUACACAAGCAAAUUAUUAAUAUACCAAAAACCUAAUUUCUGCAUUGCAUUAAUAAAAUACUUGUUAUUUUGCCUUUAUCCAAUUCAGUUGAUUAGGUGAAAUAGAAAAUUAAUCUUUUCAAAUGUGCAUAUGAUCAUAAUUUUUCAAAAUGUUACUGUGGUCAUUUUUGGUGCAUGAUGCCAAGUUUAUCUUUAGUUAGCCAUUGCCACCUGAUAUGUAAUGACAAAUGUUUUACUAUCUGAUCAUUGGGUUGUAGAUUAAACUAUUUUUUUUCUCUGUAGAUUCUCACUACAUUUUCAAAUAUGUACUUGGAAAAAGCUGCAAAGUGCUACCUAUAAGCAAAUUAGUAACUUUGGCCUUAUCUAUGCAUAGUGUUCGCUCAGUUUGGUUUUGAUAAAUUGAUUGACUUGCAGUUCCUUUGUAGUAUUUUAACUUAUUGUGAUGUAAUGAAUUUUUUGAAAUGUUUAUUUGAUUAGCUGUUAAAAUAUAGGAAAGAAUGUAGCUUUGCAUGAAAUAAAUUACAUUUCUACAAGUUAA
rnacentral:lncRNA from 1 species